rnacentral:rRNA from 1 species
AUGGCGACGGGAUCCACAGAGACGGACCUCAUGACCGAUCCAACGAUCAAGCUCCCCGACGACCUCCUGGUCGAGAUCAUCUCGCGCUUGCCGUACAAGUCCACCCGCUGCUGCAAGUGCGUCUCCACGCGCUGGCGGGACCUCAUCUCCCACCCCGACCACCGCGACAAGCUUCCCCAGUCGACCCUUGCCGGCUUCUUCUGCAAAAACCACGGCAUGGACUGCGAUCCACGUUUUCAUGAUGUUUACCACAGCGUCUCGGGGGAUUGGUGCCCUUUUGACGACUCUCUCUCGUUCCUACCUGAAUACGAGCAGCUUGAUAUCUUGGGCUGUUGCAAUGGCCUCCUCCUCUGUCUAUGUUCGCAGCCUUAUGCCGAGAAACCGGAUUAUGUGGUGUGCAAUCCUGCCACUGAGAAAUGGGUAACCUUCCCUGCCAACCGGAUUGUGUCGUUUGCUCACCUGGGAUUCGACCCUGCCGUCUCCUCCCAUUUCCAUGUGUUUGAGUUGGUACCUAUCAAAGGUGGACAUGAUUAUAGGAUCGAAGAGGUGGGGAUCUACUCUUCCAAAGCUGGAGGUUGGACACAUCAAAUUGCUUGGGACGAUCCAAUUGAGAUACGCUACUUUUCAGGUGGCACAUUCCUCAGCGGGGUGUUGUAUUUACCUUCUGAUAAUAAUUCGGUUGCAGCCAUCGAUGUGGAGGGAAAUUGUAGGAUCAUUCCUCUUCCUACUUCUCAUGAUGCUCCUAUUGUUCCUAAUGUAUAUGUAUCACUGGGACAAUUGCAUCUCACAAAUAGGGGUGCUUCUGAACUAUCAAUCUGGGUUCUUGAAGAUUCUAGUAGCGAAGAUUGUUGGACCUUGAAGCUCAAUGUCAACUACUUGCAACUGUUUGGAGAAGGGUAUUCAAGCCGCAUGCCAUAUUAUGGUGUUAUCUCAGCACACCCAGAACACAAUAUGGUAUUCAUAACCAUAGGAUUGAGAUCGGGGUUCCAAGAGCUUGUGAAAUUAUUUUCAUACGACGUGGAUUCUAGGGAGCUGUGUUUCGUAUCUGAUCUUGGCUGGUAUGUCAGGCGGGCUUAUCUUUCAUAUGUUCCUUUGUUCUCGGAGUCAUUAGCAGAUGGGCACUAA